AGACUUACCUGGCAGGGGCGAUACCGUGAUCACAAACGUGGUUUUCCCAGGGCAAGGCUUAUCCAUUGCACUCCAGAUGUGCUGUGAUUGCCCCAGAUGUGGGAAACUUGACUGCAUAAUUUGUGGUAGUGAGGGACUGUGUUCACACUUUCCCCUG
rnacentral:snRNA from 1 species